rnacentral:lncRNA from 1 species
GGUAGAUCCUUUCUCUACAAUGAGAAAGUUAGCUAAAGUCUUGCCAGCAGAAUCAAGGAAAAUAGAAAAUUUGCAUCAUGAACAUCAUAUUUUCUGACCUUAAAAUAUACUACAAAGCUAUAGAAAUCAAAAUAGCAUGGUACUGGCAUAAAAACAGGCACAGAACAAUGGAACAGAACAGAAUGCCCAGAAAUAACCCCAGGAUUUACAACCCACUCACUCUUAAUAAAGGAGCCAAAAACAUACAUUGGAGAAAUCACGUUCUUUUAAAUAAAUGAUGCUGGAGAAACUGGAUAUUCACACAUAGAAGAUUGAAACUUAACCCCUACCUUUCACUCUGUACAAAGAUCAACUCAAAAUGAAUCAAAUACCUCUAGAUUAUGGAAAUAUUAGAAGAAAAUAUAGGGGAAAUUCACGAAGACACUGGUACAGUCAGUGAUUUUUUUUGUUUUUUAGUAAAACCCUCAGAAGCACAAAUAACAAAAGAAAAAAUAGACAAAAUGAUUAUAUUGAACUAAGAAGCAUCUUUACACAAAGGAAAAUAUCAACAAAGUGAAGAGACUGACCUAUAGAAUGGAAAAAAUUGUAAAAUAUUCAUCUGAAAAAUAAUUAAUAUUUUUAUAAUAAUCCUUACAAAAAAAUCAGUAACAAAAAUGUCCUAUUGAAAAAUUAGCAAAUUAUACAAAGAGACAUUUCUCAAAACAAUAAAUUCAAAUAACCAAAACAUUUAUGAAAAAUGUUCAAUAUCAUUAGCAAUUAGCUAAGUGCAACCAAAAUCACAAAAUGGUGUAUUUAUUUCUCCAAGUUAGAAUGAUCAUUAGCCAAAAGAAAAAAAAUAACCAAUGUUGUUUAAGUAUGUAGAGAAAAGAGAACUUUUAUUCACUGUUAGUGGGAAUAUAAAUUAGUACAGACUCUAUGGAUAACAGUAUGGAGGUUUCUCAGAAUCUAAAUAUAGAUCUACCAUAUGAUCCAACUAUCUCAGUUCUGGGUAUAUAUCCAAAGGAGAUGACAUCAGUGUACCAGAAAUACCUACAUGCUCAUAUUUAUUGCUGUAUAGUUCACAAUAACUAAGAUGUAGAAUCAACUUAGAUGCCCAUCAACAGAUUACUGAAUAAAGACAAUGUAAAGGGUGCACACAAUGUAAUAUUAUUCAUCCCUAGGAAAGAAUGAAAUCCUGUCAUUUGCAACAAAAUUGGUGGAACUAGAGAAAAUUAUGUUAAGUAAAUAGGUCAGACAUAGAAAGAUAGAAAAUGAUCUCUCAUAUGUGAAUGCUUAAAAAAGUUAAAUUGAAUGUACAAUAGUGAUUAACAGAGGAUGAGAAAGGAAGGGGAAGACAUAAACGAGGUUGUAUAACAGGUACCAAACAGAGCUAGAUAAAAAUGAUAAGUGCUAGUGUUUAAUAGUACAAUGCAGUGACUAUAUUUCACAAUAAUGGUAUGAAUAACUAGAAAAGAAGGGCUCAAAUAUCCCAACACAAAGUAAUGAUAAAGAGAUAAAUAUAACCAACAUAUAUUCUAUACAUGUAUUAAUUGAUCAGCAUGUAUCCUAUAAAUGUGUUACUAUAUCAUAUGACCACUGAAAAAAGUUUCAAUUACUGUGUUAACCCAUUUUUUUUUAAUAUUCAAGGACUGGAAAUGCUAAUACUGCUCUUUGAUUAUUGUAAACUCUAUACAUGUAUUGAUUUAUCAUACUGUACCCCAUAAAUGUGUACAAUUAAACUAACAAUUAAUAAAAAUGUGCUUUAAAAGAAAAGAAAAUGUGUAUAACAAAAAAAGUUUAGAAAUGAGAAAAACAUCUAUUCUUUUAAAAUAUUAUUGGACCUGAACAGACACUUCUCAGAGGAGGACAUGCAGUCAAUCAACAAGUACAUGAAAAAAUGCUCACCAUCUCUAGCUGUCAGAGAAAUGCAAAUCAAAACCACCCUAAGAUACCAUCUCACUCCAGUAAGAUUGGCAGCCAUUAGGAAGUCAAACAACAACAAGUGCUGGCGAGGAUGUGGG